UGCUGUUUGCGAGGGCAGGUUGUUUCGUGGGUGUCUUUGUAGCGUUAGUUGCUUCGCACUCUGUACCGGUAGGUGGCGGUGAUGCACAUUGUUUGCCAACCGCCAUAAAAGAAGUAGUAGUUGGUUGCACGAGGUCACAAGAAUGCGCGAAGAAAAAACAACAGAGUAUGUUUGAGUGUCCGUCUGGGGCUUUCUUUCAGGCGAAAUGAACUUUGCGUUUCGUCCAGAUGUCUUAAAUUGAGUUAAUUUGGCUUGGAAUGGAAGAGCAGUUGACCGAAGCGGACUGGGUUAGUUUAGGUACAGUGCAGCAAACGCAAUCGUAUAAGCCGUCGAGUUUCUUUGUGCCAACUCAUGUCAACUAAUGGCGUUGAGAAGUGAAGACGUUUGAAAUAAAAAUGUGACUGUCCGAGGGGAAGGAAGGAGAGUUCGACUUGCCUUCAAGCCCAGAAGCUUCGGUGGACCGACUGCGCCGAAUUUGCUUGUUUGAAGACAGACGCAAGCCUGACGAAGAGGCGACAACAUAGCGCGCUUCCUGUUUUGACUGCAGGCACGUGAUGGCGUUGAACGUGCAGUGUCUUCUUCCAGCAGGCUGUGAUCUGUGCAUUCUAUCACCUUUUAAAAUAAAGGAUUUGAAAAAAAUAA